rnacentral:rRNA from 1 species
GACGAACCGUGCGAACGUUAUUCGGAAUCACUGGGCUUAAAGCGCGUGUAGGCGGGAGGGCACGUCCGUUGCUGAAAUCCCCCGGCUCAACCGGGGAACGGGCGCGGAUACGACUCUCCUUGAGGGGCGUAGGGGGACCUGGAACUUCCGGUGGAGCGGUGAAAUGCGUUGAGAUCGGAAGGAACGCCCGUGGCGAAGGCGGCUCUCUGGGACGGUACUGACGCUGAGACGCGAAAGCGUGGGGAGCGAACAGG